AGUACGCCCUGCUUGGCUCUUUGGAAGAUGGUGAAAAAAGUCUGUCCUUGCAACCAGCUCUGUAUGUGCCCUCCAGCAGAGCCGAAAUCAGGCAGGACACAGACUCCUUCUUCCUUUCUCAUCAAACCAUAGAAAUAGAAUUCCUUCAUCAUAACCUCAAAGCUUCCUCCUUCCCUUUGCACUCCUUCCUCAGCUGAAUGUUCCUGUUGCUUCCACAUACAAGUGCUUGCUUGCUCUCCUGGGAAAGGGGGGAACGGGUGAGAAUCCACAAACCAAUUGAACCAAUUGAGACUGAGGUCGUCUUCAGGAAAACCAUGUGUUCCUGGAGUUGAAAGAUUCAGGCACACCACAGAGAACCUUCUUCAUGACUAAUCUUGGUUCUUAACUCAUAGGCAACUGGGAGAGGUUGAAGCCUUCAUUCCUCCCGAGUUUGUUUACAAAUUUGUGUGUACGGGUCCAGGUGAAAAAGGUUUUUUGAACCGAGCAUGCUGUCUCUUUUAUCACCUCUUUCUGUUAAAGAAUGGCUAAAGACUGUGGCACAGUAUCCACAUGGUGUGGGAAGCCCAUCUUUUCCUGGGCCAAGCAUCUACCUUUGCUUUCCUUUAACUCCUACUUUAACCCUGCCUCAGUGCUCGAGAAAUCCUCUUUUGCCCUGCAUUCUGCAGCAUUCUAGAGCCUCACUGACCAUACCACACCUCCCUCAUCAGCGUGAUGCUGGGAAUAGAGUACUGAAACUUACUUUCCGUACUCUAGAUGCCAUGGGAAUGGGCAGAAAGGGGUCCCUCCCCUUUGUGCCUACCACCAUCUUGAGUUUUUUAGCCUCAUCUGCAACUCCUGAAGAGAACCUGUUUUCAUUACCCUCUUAUGCCAAAACAUUUGGCUAAACAAGACCUUGGAACCUUCCCGUCUUGCAUGGCUUCCCAACUCAUCCUCUCCCCAUUCAGUGGCUUGCCAUUCAUCAUCCUGUGAAGUUUUCCCUCUUCCUGAAGCCAAAACCCAACCUCCUUUUAAUGGUUGUAUUCUGUUGCUUCUUUUAA